UGCGGAUGCGGCCCUGCCGCCUCCUGCCGCCCAGCACCGACGCCAGCCACCGCCGCGCCACGCAGCUCCGCCCCCGCCGCCUCCGCCGCUGCUGAGGCCGCCCACCGCCCGCCGCCAGCGCUCCUGAGGACGCGCACCGCAGACCGACCGACCGACCGGCCGCUAGCCCGCCCCACAAGGACAGCAGCAGCAGCCGCAGCAGCAGCUGAGCCAUGGUCCGCCCCCAGACGCAGCUUGAGGCGCCGCCCCCGGCGAGGACCCACCGGCCGACGUGCCCGCCUCUCGUACUCGCCGCGGCGCUGCUGUUGGUCGCUGCCGGUAAGUUCCUGCUUCUCUAGUGACGGGAUGUAGGCAGCUCUGAAAACCAAGGAACUAAAACGUCAGCAGUCACUGAGUCGUCAGUGGAGAGAGAAACCGUAAUGUUAACUCAGUCACCGUUUUUCGUCGCCGCAAACAAGCCUUCGUUCAGGUUGUAAAAUUCCAUAUAACAUUGUUACCGAUAUAUGCUGCAGCAAUUAAAUUUAAGUUUAUUAUAUUUUCAGCUGUGUACUACACCGAAAGAUGAUCAGAUGUAACUAUCGCCUCUCCGCUGUACAAUAUCUG